CUCACUCACCCUGGUAGAAGGGGAUAAUGUGACAGAUUAGCAUCUGUUAGUAAUCAACUUACACAACCAACUCCCCUUCUACACCUGCUUGUUUCUGGCUGUUGUGAUCUUGCAUAAUCCUUGAUGUUCUUCUGCUCUGUGCUCUGUGCUUGUGUAGUUUCUAAUGAUUCUUCCACAUAGCUCCUUACAUUCUCCCACUCUGUGUUCUGUGCUUGUGUAGUCUCUAACAAUUCUUCCGCGUAGCCCUCAAUGAUUCCCCCACCCCACAUUCCACACUUGUGUAGCUUCUAAUGAUUCUUACACAUACCCUUUAAUGUUCUUCCACUCCACACUCCACUGUGGAGCGGCUUCUGAUAUUCUUCCGCCCUGAACUUUCCCCUAUAAGAACCCUCUUUGUAUGACCUUUUCUUCUGAUUUCUUUUCUCUUUCUUUCCUUAAUCAAUUCGUAAUCUGUAAUUAGGAUAGUACCAAAUCGUUAAUCGAAGUACGCCC
rnacentral:sRNA from 1 species